CAGAGAGAGGGGAGCUGGAACAUGUUAGGGCCCCCGAAAGCCAAGAUACCCCAGAGCCCAGGAAUCUGAGAAGAGUCCACGUUGAGGGCAGCGUUCGCCUGCGUUCUCUGCCAAGGGGCUGUGGAUUUCGGGACUGAGCACCGUGUCCCGGGACCUCAUCCCCAGGAGGCAGGGCCAUGGGACAGCCCCCAGCGCCAGCCGUGUGGAAUGUGCCACUCUUGGAACUGAGGCUCUCGGUUUUUAAAAUUGGCUUGUAAAUCUCCGUGUAGUUUUCAGGCUUUAGGAAUUUUAUUUUAUCUGGAUUAAAGUCAUGUUCUGCUUUGGCAUAGGAAGGCGUUUAUGACUGUUAAAACAAGAAAUGAAAAAUAUAGGCCUGCAAUCAGCCGGGCUGCCUCCUGCCAGAGUCUAGGGAUUUGUCUUGGGGGCCAGGCUGAAGGUUUGCUGCCCUUCUCCCCGCACUGCUCUGUGUUUCUCCAGAAAGCUGGAGCUGGCUGCCUGGGAGCGGCUGUCGCGAUGGCUGGGAGGGCCUCAGGAACGAAGCCUUUGUCUUUGCUCAGGUGUGUUCUCACAAUGGGGAGCCACGGCCCUCCCCAAGGACCAGCGAGCAAUGGGCGCAUCUCAUUCGCUGCCUGCAUUUGCCCCCGCCCAUCCAAGAGAGCAGAAUCAGAGAGGGUGAAGGCAUCCCAGCCAAUGCCGUGAGAAAGCACCUGAGAACCUUAAGAGCAGAAAGGCAAGGCAAGCUACCAGCUUCUUGGACCAACCGCCUUUUGUCCUUGCUCAGGGGAAUACAAGCUUUCUUUCUCCAGACACUGCAAGUGUCCACAAGUUCUUCCCUUUAAAAGGGAUUAUGAAGGAAAUCUCGUUUCAGAAUUGCUGCUGCUUUUGGCAAUCUGCAAUAUUAGCCUGAUGAGGAAUUACACUCGCUAAUGAAAUCUCGCAAGUUGGGUUGAGUCUAAUUGUUGCUAGUGCUCGUAGUAAUAGCCUUUCUUGGGGACUUCUGUGCCGGAGCAUCCCUCGCUUGGCUACAGCCCAUGUGGAAAAUCAAUUUCCUCUAAAUGUUUGAAGAAUGGCACAGAAGGACCUGAUUUCUUUUCCCUCUGCUGGAGUUAAUCUGGAGACAGUGAGCCUAUAAAAUGAAUGAAAAUAGCUACGAUUGCAAGAUGCAGGGUGGAAUGCCGAGCUAAGCUAAGCAGAGCUGAUCGCACACUCCAAGUUCCAGCUUUUUGUCCUAAGGCCAGAGACAAUAUACAUUCGUGUCCCAAAUUGAUGGGCUCUUAAAAAGUCACAGAACAGAAAGGAUUUUACUUCAACCUGGCAAUUUCACUUCUAGGAAUCUCUCCCGCAGAAAAACUCCCAGGAGAAUGCAGGACUGUAGGAACCUGGUUUGUGACGGUGAAAAAUUGGAGGCAAGAGAAUUAUCUGACAAUGAGAGACUGGUUAAAAAAAAAUGGUGAUAGAUCCAUGCUCUGUAGCCAUUAAAAAGAAAGAGCUAAAUCUGUGUGAAUUCAUAUGGAAGGAUUUUUAUGGUAUGGUAUUGGGUGGAAAAAAGCAAGUUACAGACAUACAUAGUAUGGGUUCACUUUUGUAAAAAAAACCUUCAACAACAAUGUGCACAUUUAUACGUAGAUGUUUGUACAUGAGUAGAGAAAGAUCUGAAAGGGUACACACCAAGUUGUAGAUGGUGGUGGCUAAACUCAGGAGUGGGAAUGGUGCAGGUGAGACAGGAAAUUUCCCUUCUAUAGUAUUUCGGGUUUUUUUUACAACAAGGGUUUGUGGCUUUGGAACGAAAAAGGAAAUAAAGAAUUGACUUUCUGGCUUGUCUGAAUAGCACCGUGCCAGGUUCACCACUCUUUCUGAGGAUAUGGAAGAUCACAGCUCAACUCCACAGUGUUACGAUCCGGUCAAGCCAGUUGCAAGUCUGUUACACAGCUUAAUCUGAUAGGUCAUAGCUCUUUCUAGUCCACAACUGCCACAAAGAGACUUCAUCUUUAGCUACUUGCCUACUAAAUUAGAACCAAACCAAAAUGUCCUUUUGCCAAGGCCAGAAUUUAAAGAUUUGCUUUAAAAAUAAUUGUGGUAAAAUAUGCACAACAUAAAAUGUAUGAUUUUAACAUGUACAGUUAAGUGGCAUUGGGCUCAUUGACGGUGUUACGCCAUCAUUGGCACUAUGUGGUUCCAGAACUUUUUCAUCAGUCUAAAGGAAACCCCAUCCCCAUUAGCAUCACUCUCCAUUCUUACUCUCCUACAGCCCCUGGAAACUACUAAUUUUCUUCCUGUCUCUAUGGAUUUGCCUAUUCUCGACAUUUUGUAUAAAUGGAGCCAUACCGUCUAUGGCCUUUUGUGACUGGCUUCUUUCACUUAACAUAAUGUCUUCAAGGGUCAUCAUUCCUUUUUAUGGCUGAAUAAUAUUCCAUAGUAUGGACAUGCCACAGUUUGUUUUAUCCAUUCCUCAGUUGAUGGACACUUUGGAUGUUUUUAUCUUUUAUAUAUAAGAAUAAUGCUGCUAUGAACGUUCCUGUACACAUUUUUAUUUGAGCACCUGUUUUCAGUUCUUUGGGGUAUAUAUGCAGAAGUGGAAUCCUGGGGUCGUAUGAUAAUUUGCCUUUAACUUUAUCAAGAUUUGCUUUUAAAACCCCAGAAGGCCAGUUUCCUGACCAUGGACGACAGGGCAUGAGGAGGAAAAGCUUCCACUGACAUUCUCUGUUGUGUCCCCUGAGUCUAGGCAAUUAGGUGCAUAGAUGAAGAUAAUCACUAUGUAAUUACCCUAUCUACACUUAGAAAACCAUCUGCUAAGAUUCCACUUCUUCUAGAAUAUUCUGAAUAUUGCUAUUACACGAAAUUGGGGAACCGUUCUUCAAAAUAAAUUAAUCAAAUGAUUAACCCAGGAUUUCUCCUGUAAGUUUCACUUACUGUUACACUUGUGGAAAUUCAACAACUCUGACUAUUCCUAAGCAUGACAGAAUUAACCCUGAAUCAUCCAAGUGCCAGACCAAAUUCUUCCGGGCUCGGGGUCUUGAAAUGGACUUUUGUUGAGUGGCAGCCUGCAAUAAUCAGCUUUUCUGAAGGUGGGCUUAACUUGCAAUCAGGAAAACAUAGUAGUUAGGUUGCUUUGGGUCAGUAGGACCUGGGUUCAAGUCUCAACUCUGCUGUUAACUAACUUACCUUGGGAAAGUCACUUAACCCUUCUGAAUCCCUCAGUUUCCUCCUCUGUAAUAUGGGAUUGAUUAUAGGACAUACUUCAUGGAACAUUUAUUCAUUCGACAAACAAUUAUUAUGCACCUACUGUGCAACACAUACCGUUUACCGGCACUGACUGAACCCUCGCCUCGAAAGAGUCCCUCGCCUUGUGGGGAGAGACAGACAAUAAACAUAACGAUGAGUGGUUAUAAGGUCGUUAGAUGGUGAUGACUUUAUGAGGAAAAACUAGAACAGGAGGGCUGAAGGAAGCUCUGCAUUUUAAAUGAUGUGGUCAGCAUAAGCCCCACGAAGAAAGUGGCAUUUGAACAAAGACUCGAAAGAAGAAAGAAGAUAAGUCUUGCAGCUGUCUGGCAAGAAGAACAGGUAGUGCAAAGGCCCUGAGGCAGGAGUGUUCUGCCGUCUUCACGGGAGGUCAAGGACACAGCGGGCUGGACCAGAGUGCAGGUGUCCUAGGCAAAUGGAGAACAUUAAGAAGUCACUGCACAGCCGAGCAUAACAUGCCUCGCUCUCUUUCACACAGACACACCAAGUCAGCAUUUCAAUUCAAGAAAGCUCCCAAGACAGAGGUGACACAGAAACACACUUUGGGGGGAAACUUCCCCCUUCCCUGGAAUAGGAUACCAUAUGUGUGACUCCCUCUCAGGGUCAGUAUGGCUGGAACAUGCCAUUUCUCCUCUAUCCAGUUACCCUACAUUCGACUCUGUCACUGUGACACCAUAUGCUGCCGGAACAACACAUCCUCAUUCCUUGGAAUAAAAAGGUCUUUCAUAAGACUUAUUAAGUCUGAAUCU
ensembl:lncRNA